GUGUCCCACCCCUGAAGGGCCACACACUUGUCCUUAGCUGCAUCAGAAAUAGGUUUUUCCCCUUGGGUGGAAAAUGUAUCUUUUACCAGCUCUGUGUGAAGCACUUUCCUCCUUUAAAAAAACUGUUCUCAGGCUAAAAAUGUGUUAUCUGUGUUUCCUUUUACACAUUUCCUUUAGGGGAGCCACUGCCUGGCUGAUUGACAUCGUGCCCCAGCUGGGUUUUCUACAAAAACCCUUUUUUAGUCCCUUUAUCAGACACUUCUCCCACCUGUUAAUCUGUUUAUCCACCGCCCAGCGCUUGAAAGCGCUGCAGUAGCAAACUCUCACCUGAAAAAAAACCCAACAAACAAGCGAGUUUUGGUUAAAUAAACCCCAAAAUAUUUACCUGGGGCUCAGCAGCUGUGAGGAGAGCAGGACCAACAUCUGCUGAUGGAGCUGGUGGAUGGUGGGAGCAGUUCCAGGGAGGAAGAGGAAUUUGGGAAGUCACCCCAAUGUGUGAUGCAGCUCCUGGGGUCUUGCUGCCUCUCUGUGUCCCCCUGGAGACACCUCAGCGGGAGGAUGAGCUCUUGUGCGUGCUGGAUUCCUGCUGUCACCUCACUUGGAACCUUGGUGCUCCACGCUCUGCUCUUGCUGGUCCUUUACAUCAUGCUCAGCAGGAAAAUUGCCCAACAUUCCCGUGGGAUGCAGAGGAGCAGCAGCCCUGGGGAUCAUCCCAGGGCUCAGCCCAGCCCUGCCCCGGCCUCGUCACCGGCAGGGGACAGGGCACAAAAUCCCAGAGCACAAAAACCAUCAGCAGCCUAUGCAGGUAAGGGGCUCCUGCAGCAAUGGGGAGGUGUCCUGGCACAG
rnacentral:lncRNA from 1 species